rnacentral:rRNA from 1 species
UACAGAGGGUGCGAGCGUUGUUCGGAAUUAUUGGGCGUAAAGGGCGCGUAGGCGGCGCGGUAAGUCACCUGUGAAAUCUCCCGGCUCAACUGGGAGCUUGCAGGCGAAACUCCCGUGCUGGAGUGUGGGAGAGGUGCGUGGAAUUCCCGGUGUAGCGGUGAAAUGCGUAGAUAUCGGAAGGAACGCCGGGUGGCGAAAGCGACGUGCUGGACCUCUUCUGACGCUGAGGCGCGAAAGCUAGGGGAGCGAACGGG